rnacentral:rRNA from 1 species
UACGUAGGGGGCAAGCGUUGUCCGGAUUUAUUGGGCGUAAAGAGCUCGUAGGCGGUUUGGUAAGUCUGGUGUGAAAUCUCCACGCUCAACGUGGAGGGGCCACCCGAUACUGCCAUGACUGGAGUCCGGUAGAGGAGUGUGGAAUUCCUGGUGUAGCGGUGAAAUGCGCAGAUAUCAGGAGGAACACCCGUGGCGAAAGCGGCUCUCUGGGACGGUACUGACGCUGAGAAGCGAAAGCAUGGGGAGCGAACAGG